CCUACGGGAGGCAGCAGUGGGGAAUAUUGCACAAUGGGCGCAAGCCUGAUGCAGCAACGCCGCGUGGGGGACGACGGCCUUCGGGUUGUAAACCUCUUUUGGCAGGGAAGAAGCGAAAGUGACGGUACCUGCAGAAAAAGCACCGGCUAACUACGUGCCAGCAGCCGCGGUAAUAC
rnacentral:rRNA from 1 species